rnacentral:misc_RNA from 1 species
AGCAUAUUUUACAAACAGGCUCACGAAAAGGAUUAUGAUAUAUGCAGUGAAGAAGAUCCGUCGUGUGAGUACUACGUCAAUCUCGGUGUCGCCUUCCCUCACCGUUCGUUAACAGAAACAAUCAUUGUAAGAAAUCACAGCCCACUCAACUAUAACUACUACUGGAGCUCGAGGACCUGGGGUGUUUGCUGUUGUUGGAACUAUUCGGGGAACUUACUCAGUGACGAUGCAAGCGAUGACGAUUUGUGUC